AUGAACAAAUUACUUUCUUCAAAAGCAUACCACGAUGAGAAGAAAACAGAAAUUCUAAGCCAUCAGGGCUCAGACUAAGCCAGUCAGCUGACCAGGUAAGGACUUAUAUUAGACACUGUUCAAUGAUGACAUUCAGAAUGAAUCAGGAAAGAAGUGACUUGUUGGAGACUACUUCCUUGAACUAUCAUCCUCUGUCUUCUGUAGCCAGAGCUGAUGUUAGAAUAUUAGAAGGACAUAUGUCCAAUGAAGCGCUACAAAGACAGAAAAGGACCUAGAGGGGAAGACACAUGAAUAAUGACAGAGGUGCCUUGGUUUUUCCAGCCUAGAGAAGAGGAGCCUGAGGGGAGUCCACAUGGCUUCCCAGGGCAGGCUGAAGGAACUCAGGAUAUUCCAUGAUUCUAUGGUUAUGCUUCCCUUGGCUGCCUAAGGAGUAUUAUGCUUUGUCCCCUCAUCACUACUGUCAGGCACCAGGGUGACUGCACUUGCAGCUGGGUGUUAGUGGAGACCACCUGACCCCAGGAUACUCUUGACACCAUCUUGAUGAGGAGACCCCAAACAUGGGAUGAAGAAGGGCUGAAAGCUCCACAGGUGUCUGUGCCAGUCCAGACAUUCUAUCUUGAAAGCAAAAAGGCCUAAGUGAGCCCUUUCAAGAAAAGGGGUCCUCAAGCACCCCCAACUCUUACUGGCACACCAGUCACAGAGCAGCUCAUGGUGAGGAAAUCUGAAGAGCAGUCAAGGUGAAUCCACCUCCAGAUAAAGAACAACCCAUGGAAAUGAAUCCACAUCCAUCAGGGCCAAGGAGACACAACACCAUCAGAAUGCCUGCUAAAAGACAGCACCCAACAAUACAGUGCCUUGUGUCAUAUGAGACAACCCACAACCCACAACCUUAGAGCUGGCAAGGAGUCCCAGGGAACACUGAGGGAAAUGCCUUCUGUCAAGUUAAGAAAAUAAAAGGAGAGAUUUGAGUAUUGACUACUGUUGCCUACUGGAAGCAUGGAAUAAAAUGAGGACUGGCUUCUCUCUCAUAGAUGUUUGGUGGUGGAAGGUUGGGAGAUGCCAGGCUCACAUUACAGCAGCAGAAAUGUCACCUCCUUCAUGCUAGGGGGCAAGAGUGAAGGUCAGGAAAAGAGAACUCACAUCACGCUUGAAAUUCAGCAGUUCUUUAUUGACUGCAUGUCCCUAGGCUUCCUGAGGAGUGUUUGUCCCCUCUCCACUACUGUUGGGCAACAGGCUGCCUCCACUUGCAGGCAGCCAGGCAGCUGCCAGGUAGAGGACUGCCACUCAUCAGUACAAAUGGAUUUGAGGCACGGGAUGAAGAAGGGGCUCGAGUCUCCACAGGACCUUUUGCCCAAAUUCUCUCUGGCAAGCACAAUGCAACAGAUGAGCUCUUCCCAGAAUAGGGUCCCACAGUACUCCAUGUCCUUCCUUCUCCUUCAAAAUUGGGGCAACUCUCAGGCCACAGGCCCCAACUCCAAAAACUGUUGAUUUUGGGUUGCCAUGGAACACUGCUGAUGUCACUGCCUAGUGUUCCAAGCCCUCCAACUGCCAUACCGGCAGCAAGAGGCAGGAGGGCAAGAGGCACCAACUGCUAAUGGAUCCUCCUCCCCAGAAGAAGAGGCGGCUCGUGGGGAGGAGAUGUAAAGAAGAGCCAAUGCAAAUAGAUGAAGAAUCUAUUGAGCCCAUGGAGGUGGAUGAACCUCACAAAGAAGAGCAGCCAAUGGAGGUGGAUGCACCUCCAGAAAAACAGCAGCCAAUGGAGGUGCACCCAACUCCACAAGGGCUCAAGAGACAGCGCCCAAGGAGCCUCAGGGACACCAAGAGAAAAUGGCGUGAGAAGUUCCUGAAGAACUCCAGGAGGCGAAGAAAGUAGAAGUCCUGCCAGAAAGGCUGCAUUCCAUUUCAACUCCUAUGGAUGGCAGCGUGAGCUGACAAUACUCACUAUCUAACAACAUAAUGCACCUUGAUCUCCAAAAAGGAUGUUCCUGAAACACCAUGAACCUUUCACACCUACACGUAGAACAAAGAACGAAGCUGCAGAAGGAAUUAUAGCUAGAAGAACGAUAUACAGAUCAACUUCACAGCUUCAUCUGACACAGGACCAACUCUAAGUCUCUUCUGUCUGCCAGCCAAGAAUUCUCAUGUGCUUCUUUCAGGGACAAAUCCAAAGGACUGUCCCUAAACCAUAUAUUGAAAACUGACAUCAAUAAAUUUCCCUCCCUGUUUUCAUUUUGUCUCAGUUAAGGAAGUAGAAUUUAACUCUUGCAC